AUUAUACUUUAGCAUUUAGCCUUUUUAAACAAACUACACAUUGCCUAUUAUAGAACAUAUGGAUGGCACUAAAGAGAGAGCUUCUUACCGUUUUCUCAAGUCAACCCCUUCACGAUGUUCUCAGAAGCGUUAGUUUUUCAAACUGCAGAAGCAGCAUACAAGUAACAAUGUACAAAAUGCACCCUUCCUCUUUUCAUGUACUUCCUCUUUAAAAUGCCUUCAAAAAUGAGUUUGCACCAGCAUGCGGCUGGGGGUUUUGUGUAAUUUAAAAAGCAGUAUAGUAAACAGGAUAACAGUGGAACAGGAUAGCAGGAUAAAAGAAAGAAAGCAUCUCUGGCCAGAAAUGUAGACAGCAUCAGAGAAGAAAAACAUGUCUACUUUAAGACUUUUGAUUUAAAAGAAGCAAAGGAACUGAUUCACUUUUAAAGCCUUUCCAUCUGGUAUUAAUAUGCAUUUCAUGAUCUGGUCACAAGUGGCCAGCUCUAAUACAGGCUUGAAUCGAGUACAAAGUGGUUUGUGAACAGAUCACCACAUUGCAUUUGAGCUGGUCACAAUACCCACACUUUGUAGUCUUUGCACUGAUCUCUUGUCUACUUACAUGACGUAUUUCCUUUAUUUGGUUCAAGUGGGUGUGAGGACCUCAAGUGCACAGAACUUCUGAUUAACUAAUGGGACACACAACAUAGUGUUAUAUAAAUGCAAGUAAAGUUUUUACUUAGCUUUAAGACCUGGGACAGUCUUGUGCACUUACUUCCUGUUACAUGUACAUGCUCUCAAGUUGCCAUGACUAGUGUGGGUAUUGUGACCACAGAUAUGUAUAUACAUAUCUAUUAUUGGGACAGGCCUUUUGUGGUGAAAACCACACGCCAUAGCGACAGAUGAGAUGUUUUCCCAGUGAGCAUGCCAGACUCAUGAUCUGAGACAUCUUCUGGAAGCUUUGAAGACAUAGCAUCCUGACUUCUCUCAAUUUUGAACGCAAAGUCAUCUUACCCAGCUUGGCCGUUCAUGUUGCAGUUGGAGUCGGGCGGUUUUGGUGGUUGAAGGUCUAGUCUCUCUGGCUGUGUGGUUAUGCAGUUCUCGCCAACUUUGUAGACAAAGCAAACCCUGGCCAGAUACCGCAGGAUGCAUUUCUUGGUCUAGGUUGUAAUGGGUUUGGCCUCAGGGCCACAGUGAUGUAUGUUCAUAAUAAAGAUGAUGAGAGUAGUUGAUGCAGUGAUCAUGGUCAUCGUGG
rnacentral:lncRNA from 1 species